rnacentral:tRNA from 1 species
GGGGCCGUAGCUCAAUCGGUUAGAGCAGCGGACUCAUAAUCCGUUGGUUGCAGGUUCGAGUCCUGCCGGCCCUA